AGUUUUAGUCACUUCCUUAUUGGCUUCACGAGAAAGAGUGCGUGGUUGCCGCUCGUUUUGAACUGAAGACGCCGUCGUGUCCCUUUUCUAUUCCGGGCUGAAUGGAGCAGGUUAUCAGAGGGCGAGGCUAACCAUCCUAUUCAGUGUCAGGCUAAGAGUGAGGAGAAAUAGAUUAGCCAUGUGCCACUGCUGUGGACGUCAAUACUGCAGAACUCCCCGCCACCCCCUGCUUGAUCAUUCAAGUUGACAUGAUGAAGCCCUCUGAAUGGCUUAUAUCCAUCGACGGACAUGUCAUGAUGGGCCCACACCCUUUCUUUUUACACGGAGUAGCUGCAUUCUUCAGCAGCUACUAUGUAUUCAACCUUGAGGAUCCUGCCGCUGGAUCUUCGACGCUGGAGUUCAUUCAAAGGUAUUUUAUUUGGCACACAGGAAGCAAGCUGCA